rnacentral:rRNA from 1 species
UAGCGCAUAGGGAACUACCUUAUAGAGGAGGAUAACCUGGGGAAACCCGGGCUAAUACUGCGUAAGUUCUACGGAAGAAAGGCUGGGCCCAGAGAUGGCCAGUUGCUAUAAGAUGUGCCUAUGCCGGAUUAGCUAGUUGGUGGGGUAAAGGCCUACCAAGGCGAAGAUCCGUAGCUGGUCUGAGAGGAUGAUCAGCCACACUGGGACUGAGACACGGCCCAG